GACGAACGCUGGCGGCGUGCUUAACGCAUGCAAGUCGAACGGAAAGGCCCUGCUUUUGUGGGGUGCUCGAGUGGCGAACGGGUGAGUAACACGUGAGUAACCUGCCCUUGACUUUGGGAUAACUUCAGGAAACUGGGGCUAAUACCGGAUAGGAGCUCCUGCUGCAUGGUGGGGGUUGGAAAGUUUCGGCGGUUGGGGCUGGACUCGCGGCUUAUCAGCUUGUUGGUGGGGUAGUGGCUUACCAAGGCUUUGACGGGUAGCCGGCCUGAGAGGGUGACCGGCCACAUUGGGACUGAGAUACGGCCCAGACUCCUACGGGAGGCAGCAGUGGGGAAUAUUGCACAAUGGGCGGAAGCCUGAGGCAGCAACGCCGCGUGCGGGAUGACGGCCUUCGGGUUGUAAACCGCUUUCGCCUGUGACGAAGCGUGAGUGACGGUAAUGGGUAAAGAAGCACCGGCUAACUACGUG
rnacentral:rRNA from 1 species